UAAGACAGAGGAGGCAAGCGUUGUCCGGAUUGACUGGGCGUAAAGCGCACGCAGGUGGUACGCCAAGUGGUGUGUGAAAUCCGUCGGCUCAACCGACGGCGGCCAUGCCAAACUGGCGCACUCGAGCCAUGCAGAGGUCGGUGGAAUUGCCGGUGUAGUGGUGAAAUGCGUAGAGAUCGGCAGGAACACCCAGGGGGAAACCAGCCGACUGGGCAUGGGCUGACACUGAGGUGCGAAAGCGUGGGGAGCGAACUGGAUUAGAUACCCAGGUAGUCCACGCCAUAAACGAUGGAUGCUCGGCAUUUGGCAUCUCUCAAACGAUGCUGGGUGCCUGAGGUAACCCGUUAAGCAUCCCGCCUGGGAACUACGAGCGCAAGCUUA
rnacentral:rRNA from 1 species